GACGAACCGUGCGAACGUUGUUCGGAAUCACUGGGCUUAAAGGGCGCGUAGGCGGCCGCUCAAGUCCGGGGUGAAAGCCCCCAGCCCAACUGGGGAAGUGCCUUGGAUACUGAGCGGCUCGAGCGGGGUAGGGGCAUGUGGAACUUCCGGUGGAGCGGUGAAAUGCGUAGAUAUCAGGAGGAACACCUGUGGCGAAAGCGGCUCUCUGGACCACAACUGACGCUGAGGCGCGAAAGCUAGGGGAGCAAACAGG
rnacentral:rRNA from 1 species